rnacentral:rRNA from 1 species
GAUGAACGCUGGCGGCGUGCCUAAUACAUGCAAGUCGAGCGAACGGACGAGAAGCUUGCUUCUCUGAUGUUAGCGGCGGACGGGUGAGUAACACGUGGAUAACCUACCUAUAAGACUGGGAUAACUUCGGGAAACCGGAGCUAAUACCGGAUAAUAUUUUGAACCGCAUGGUUCAAAAGUGAAAGACGGUCUUGCUGUAACUUAUAGAUGGAUCCGCGCUGCAUUAGCUAGUUGGUAAGGUAACGGCUUACCAAGGCAACGAUGCAUAGCCGACCUGAGAGGGUGAUCGGCCACACUGGAACUGAGACACGGUCCAGACUCCUACGGGAGGCAGCAGUAGGGAAUCCUCCGCAAUGGGCGAAAGCCUGACGGAGCAACGCCGCGUGAGUGAUGAAGGUCUUCGGAUCGUAAAACUCUGUUAUUAGGGAAGAACAUAUGUGUAAGUAACUGUGCACAUCUUGACGGUACCUAAUCAGAAAGCCACGGCUAACUACGUG